AUAGAGAUGGCGGGCCCCCGCGCCCCCGUCCCCAACCCUUUGUCGACCAAACCACUUUUGCCUCGGGGGCAGAGCGGCCUCCGCCGCCCCCGGUGGACCAUCUAACCCUGUCUCUGUACGUCGGAGUCAAAUGCAAAUGAAUGA
rnacentral:misc_RNA from 1 species